GCCCCGUACGAGGCCAGCCACAACGAGCAGACCAAGGUGUCGGUGGAGAACGGGGACGCCCCCAGCCCGGAGAAGAACGGGCCCCUGCCCUCGGAGCUGGAGGCGCUGAGCGCGGCGCUGUGUCCC